rnacentral:lncRNA from 1 species
AUGCCAAUCUGCACCCAAAACCCUUACGGUCUCCCCGAAACACAGAGAUCCCCUCCAUCCCUGGGAGGGCUGGGGGUACCUGGAGUGGUGCCGCUUUCCACCGUGCCCAGACCCAACCCCACAGCGGCGGCCCCAAGGGAAGGGUCAGGCAGCAACAGCAGCGCAGCGUCCCACUGCUGCUCCUGGAAAUCCCCAAACACGGAGAGACCCCAAAAAGCACGGCAGGAAAAUAAACCAGCGCAGCCGCCCACUGCUGCUGAGGCGCAACGGUGGCAGCAGAGCAGGGCGAUGGCCGGGGGCCGCUCACACGCCCCAGAACAAAGCCCUCUGCCAGAGCCGCAAACACUCCUUCCCCCGCUUCGCUUCAGAGCAGAGAUUUUAAAGUCAUUUCAUUCCAGGAAUCAGCGCUCAGCUCCUCCUGGCAGCCGCGAGCGCGCGCUGGUAGAAAAACAACCUGUUUGUCAAAUGCGGUGGGGGGAAAGGAGGAACGGGGGGGGGGAAGGAGGAACGGGGCUGAUGUCAGCACGUGCUGGGCCACCCGGGGGACCCGCGGGGAACCCGGCCGGGUGCCGACCACGGGCGCGCUGGGGGUGCAGGAACGGGACGGCCCGUCCUUGCGCCGUGGGGACGCCGAGCUGCAGCCGCACCGCGCCACAGCCGGGGUCCCUGCAGCCGGACGGGGUCGGGCCUGAGGAGGGGCUGCUGGCGCGGGGCGCCUCGUGGGCACACGAGGGGGGGUUUCCCCACUCCACCACCCCGCACGGGCUCCUUCCCCUCCGCGGGCCCACGGGGUCUUGUGGGUUUGGAAACCCACCCCACGUAGGGCUCUGGGUGGGGGUCCCACCCCGCACGGAUCCCUUCGGCACCGCGCAGAGCCCACAGGGAGAAGAGACCCCCACAGAGCCAGGGCGCGGACCGGGCCACGUGCGUCCCGCAAGGCCCCGAGCGGGACCUCACCGCCCCGGCCCCACGCGGCCCCACACGGGCCCCAUAUGGACCUUCUUAGCCCCGCACGUCCCAUACAGACCCCACACGGACCCCACGCCGGCCCCCGGCCCACCUCCGCGCAGCCCGACGCUGCCGCCCCGCUCCGCCCCCGGCCGUGCGGACCCCCGGGGCGGUGCGGGAGGCGGCGCUGGGCCGCGGGGGGGAAGGGAUGAGGAGGGACAAAAGGCAGAAAAUAAAAGUGAAGAGGCAGAGAAUCGCGUCCCCUCGGCCGGGCCGGGCUCUGCGCUGCUCCCUCUUUUUUCGUCUCUCUGUCUUAUUUUGUCCCUUUCCCCCUUUCUUUCCCCUUUUCCCCCAUGCCCAUCUCCAUAG